rnacentral:rRNA from 1 species
UACGUAGGGGGCUAGCGUUGUCCGGAAUCAUUGGGCGUAAAGGGCGCGUAGGCGGCCGAUCAAGUCGGAGGUGAAAUCCCUCGGCUCAACUGAGGAAUUGCCUUCGAUAUGUUGUCGGCUUGAGUCCUGGAGAGGGUAGCGGAAUUCCCGGUGUAGCGGUGAAAUGCGUAGAGACCGGGAAGAACACCAGUGGCGAAGGCGGCUACCUGGACAGGUACUGACGCUGAAGCGCGAAAGCUAGGGGAGCAAACAGG